UUUGUACUCCCCCCGUCCCAAAAUUCUUAUCUUAAAUUUGUCUAAAUACGGAUGUAUCUAGUUACAUUUUAGUGUUAGAUACAUCCGUAUCUAAACAAAUGUAAGACAAGAAUUUUGGGACGGAGGGAAUACUAC
rfam:Triticum urartu cultivar G1812 contig250838, whole genome shotgun sequence.